CCUGCAGGUUUGGGACAAGUGUCUGGGGCAAUGGACAGCACAGAGGCAACUGGAGCUCAGCCAGGGGCUGUUUAAUUGACCCAAGUGUCCCAGGCAAUCUCAGAACACACCAGUUGCUCUGUCUUGCACUGGAAACCAGAACACAGCAAGCUACAGAGGUUUUUAGACCUCUACCACCAUCCUCACUUUUCCAUUCACCCCCUGUACUGGGUUUGCUGAUGGUACAGCAAAGGUGUUGUUAGCAUUGCCAGCACUGUGCAGUUAUUUACAACUGUAAAAUUAGGUCAAAUGCUUUGAAUGUGAUUACAGAACAGAGGUCAGGUCCAUCUUACAGUGACUUUGGACUAUCCGGAGAGAGGGAUAUUUGGGUUCCAGUCAGCGAUAUCGGGAUAUAGAUAGCACAGCAGGAGCAGAACAGAAGUUCAUGAGUCUUUAAACAAUAGAAAAAGGAACUUAAAACAGACUCCUUGGAAUGUAACUGGAAAACAGGUGAGUAGGAAAAAAAGAAAACAAAUGCAAAUAAUUUCAGGUUUCCAGUUCUUCAAAAAUUAUAGUGGUUCAGUUAUGUGAUGAGCAGCUAUUUUCUCUGAAAAGCAGGCAAAAUAUAAAGUCAAAGAAAAAUGAGAAUGUAUGUACAUAUGUAUACACUUUGAAAGCUUCCUGUUGAAUUAUGAAUACCUUCAAAUCAUAAAAUACAAAGGCUGUCAGUGGUUUCCAUAGAAGUUUGAACAUGCAGUUUCACUUGUUCACAGAGCAGUCUGUGUGUGCUAUCACAUUAAAACCAGAGAAAAGUAAGAAAGACACAAACAUCUUGUAGGUAAAAUUUAAAAAAAAACCAACAAAAAAACCCACAAACCUGAUUGACAGACUGAGUAGUUAUUAAAGGGGAAUUCAGAGUGGAGAGGCAUGAGGAACAGACUUCUCUAAGAAUUGGCUUUUAUCAUACAACAGUUGAUACAUUAAUUGCAAAAGGUGAAGCGUUUCCUUCCCCUGGAGAAGUGGGGAGGUUAAAAAUGGGAAGGUUCACCUGUAGCAGCCAGCAGCUGCACUGAUGUAGCAGAGAUGCUGCAAUGGGACAUUGUUCUUGUGGUGACAGAGGCAGGAGCUUGCACAGCCCUCCAUGGGCACCACCAAUGUGAGGACUACAGGGGAUACCUGAAGCUGUCAUGGGGUGGAGGGCAUGACCCUGAGGAACAGUGUAUUAGGGACUGACAAAGCACCCAGAAGCUGUGGGCUUGGCAUUAGCUCUUCCACUGCUUCCUCCACACCAUACUCCCAGGAUACCUGGAGAAAGGAUGUGCCAGGAUGGGCUGUCACAGCUGUGGAACUGGGGAGAUCUGUGGAAUGAAACACAUGGGCCUUGCAAGCAGCUAUGGAACCACAGGCAGGAGGGCAAGCAGGGCUGAGGGUGUCAUGACACCAGCAGAGAACAGCCAGGCUGACAACAGGCACAGGGCUCUUGGCAGCAGCAGGCUCUGCCCAUCCUGGACAGUCAGUCCUUGUUCCAGGUCAGCAAGCUGGGACCAGCAAGGGUCAAGCCUGGAUGUGGCCCCACCUGCAGUGGCAGCAGCUGGGUCCUUUAGGGAUCCAGGAAGGGUGUUGAGGUUGCACAUGUUCCCCUGGUGAAGGGCACAGGAUGUGGAGUGUUACCACUGGUCUACAAAGCCUCCACUUUCAGUCACAGUGACUGUCCAGCUGUGAGCUGAUGUCCUGAUCCAGUCUCACUCCCAAGAAAGUGACUGAUGACUGGGACUAGGUCUGUCCCUAGUGCCUCCUGGCCUGCUCUGCUCCCUGGCUGGGAUGAUGCUGGGUCCUGCUCUGCUGCCCCAGGGAGCCCACAUGGCUCCCACCUCCCAGACAGCUUAGGGUCCCAAUGACCUAGAGGGCCAUAGAAAAUACAGCCUCAUGAACUGCAGGCAGCAAAGAAAAAUUUCCAGCAAGAAUUGUGUGACUGAACCUCAGCUCAAGACUGUUGUCAGUAAUUCAGGGAGGAAAACCACGAAAGGAGCUGGAGAAAGGGGGCCCAGAGCAGGAGGGAAGUACUGCAUCUGCAGGCACAGCCCGGGAGCACAGGGGUCUGCCCAGGAAGGAAGAGCUGUGAGCAUCUCAGUGAAGAAGGAGGAAGCAGUUCUGAUGGAAACAGUGACCUGGAUCCUCAGAUCACUGAAUUGCAGGAAGACUUGGAGUCUAAUUGAGCAGCCAGAAACAAAAACAAACCCUAAACAACAACAACAACAACAAAAAACUUGAGUAGAAACUCAUGGACUGAGGAGAAAUUGGAGAUCCUUCAUACAUCACCAAAGCUUUCUGGAAGGAGAAAAAGGAUGACGCUGUCUGAGAAAGCAACUUCCAGGUCAAGCUGGACAAUAGCCAAGGCUUUCCGAAACUUGGGAAAAAUUUUCCAAAAAAAUGGGAAAAUAAUUCAGUUGAACAAGCAGAAAGUUUCUCAGCUGGACAAUACACAGAAGCAGACCCAGCAGGCAAACCCCAGCACGUGGCCAGUGAAGACAGUUCCAUUGCUCUGGAAAUCUUAGAGUGAUUUGGAUUGGAAGGCAUCUUAAGAUCAGCUGUGCCCUAACUCUAUGGACAGCUGUGUGCAGCCUCAGUAAGUGGGAACUGGAUCAUUCAAUAAUUAUAUGCAAUUUUUACAUGUAAUCAUAUCAUAUUGGCAUCUUCUAUUGAUUUUCUUUGCUGCUAAAAAGGAAGUUGUUUGAAAUGAAGCCAUUAAUAUAGGAAGAUACACAGAUUUCUAGCAACAACGUGUGGAGAUCUGAAUAGAAUUCUACAAAGGAAAAACCUUCCUCCUCUGGAGAGCAUGUAUUCAUGAUGCCCAGAAAGGCCUUGAAACAAGGAGUCUGAAUGACUGGAAGGCACAGGCUGCAGCACACCAUCAGAACUCUACUAAUGCAAACCCUCAUGUGGAUGACCUUGUACUAGACUGACUAGAGAGAUUUCUGUAUAGUUUGUGUUUAUGGGCAUAAAGAGCAAGUUCAACCUGGUUAUUAUUAUCCGGAUUUGAUAUACAUCAGUCAGCUGGUUUAAAGCAGAACCCUGAGGCCAGAUCUCUUGUGAUGUUCAGAGCAAAGUCCAUUCAUGUAGCCAUGCUGUCACCAGUCCCUCUGUGGCUUAACCUGUACCUGCCUUCUUUUUACCACCCUCAUUUCUGGCAGGGAAGUAAUUCCUGUUAUCCCAUCACAUACUGAGGGCAAGCUGUGCUUGCAAAUCACAGCCUGCCCAGCACUCUGUGUGUGAUGGGCACCUGCCUGCCCCAUCCUUGCUCAGCAUGGUCCCUUUCAUGUCUGCUGAUGCACAGAUGGGAAUUGGUGGGGAGAGCUCAUUUCCCCAGGCUGGGUGCCAGAGAAGCAAGCAGCAGUGCUGAGGCUCUUGGUUAUGUGUGUCCAGAGGAGGCUGCUUGUACUGUUCCCAUUAGAGAAAGCAUCAGGAGACACUGAAGCUUGAGCAUUUUGUGACCCCCAAGGAAGAUAUCAGAAGGACUGAGGGAUCCACCAGCUGUCAUCAGGAGAAAGACAGACAUAGCUGAGGUAGGUGACAGCACAGGCAGAAAAAUACACUUGCAGAAACCUGACUAGCAGCAGAGUGCAGUUGGCAAGACAGUAACGGACAUAGGAAGGCAUCACUUCAUGAAGAAGUGCUCUGGCUAAGCAGGUGAGUGCUAUUGGAGAUCCCUAGAGGAGGUAACACUGCUCUCUUCAGUCACAGCCAGCCUGCCUUUGAUAGCACGGAGCAGCACCCAGCUUUCAUCUGCCACUUUGCAAGUACACAGAGAUUCUAAAGAGAGAAAGAAGAGAAUCUAGAGAAUCACAGGACUCGCUCAUACUUCUUAAAUUUUCCUUCCUGAUGGAUCUCUGAAAUCACAAUCUCUUGUCCUGUAUUCCCAUCUCUAAGACUGAAGGUCUCCAGUACAUCCUUACAUGCCCCUCUGUACUCUGGUGGCUGCUUCUGCAUGGACCAGUCUCCUGAGGCUCUACACUGUGUCUGGAAGCUCUGCAGUCUGAGGUACCUUGGGGUGUCUAAAGUGGUGGGUAGGCAAUUGCUUAUCUGCCCUACUGCCAGUACGUGCUCCAUUUCCUGUAGGCCCUUCUUUCUUCCAUUUUGGCUUCCGUCCUGGCCUCGAGACUUACCAAGAAUUUGAAAAUAAUCUCCAAAAUUUCAAGCAUUUUGCUAGAGUUGUGACUGCUGAGAGUCCAUGUUAAAGCCACAGCUUCUGCAUCAGUGAAGGAAGGAGAGGGCUGGGUGCUGGAUCUGAGAACUGCAUAGCUCACUGGGACACUGACAGAGCAUUUUCUUCCUCUCCUUGAAAGGAAAAUGAUGAACUAGGAAAGUAUGUGGGAGAAGGAAUCUCGUGUUUGUGGGUUCAGAUGCCUGGCACAAGCAAUUUUCAGUAGCCUUGGCAGGUAGGGGCGCAGCACAGUGUCACUUCUUUGAUUGCGCUGGUUAUCCAGCCCCACCAGGUGUGUGAGGCCAAGGGGUCUAAACAGGGUAGGUCCAGCAGAGGACCUCCCAUGAGGGAAGGAAUUCCAUCAGCUGGUAAGUCCUUGCAACUUCUUUCAUCCCGAAUUUUCUUGUUUGUUUUUUGUUGGUUUUGUUUCGGUGGAGUUUCUCCCUUGUGCCUUUGCUUUUCCUUCUCUUUCUGCUAGUCUUUUUAAACGUUUCAGUGUGUAAUGCUUUCCUGACCAAAAAUAUCAGUAAGAAAGGAAACAGAAGUUAGAAACCUGCCACCAUUCUGAAGUUCAUUCACGGUGUGGGUGUAAACAGGCUCAAUUUUAACAACAUAGCACACUUUCUCCCACGGCUACCUCUCUUACUGGCCAUGGAAACAGAAGAGUAUUGGCUUUUUCCAGAGCGUCAUCACGAAUCCUUAACUGUUAAAACCAGCAGACAUUCAGGCAACCAGACCAACACUGGGAAUGCUAAAUGUUGCACGCUCAAAACCAUAUGAGCAAAGCAUUUGUUUGCCCUCAAACCUAGGGAACAGCCUACUAAUAAAGCUACCCCAAGUGAAUUAAAAGAAGCUUUCUUGACCUAAAAGGAGCUAUUCUUUCAAAGCAUGUGGUUUUCCAGUGGAACACAUACAAGAAUGGCUGGUUUUGAAGUGGAAAGACAAAAGAACUUACUGAUAGCACAAGGGAAAAGGCACACACAUAGAGGGUGUGCAAGAAGUGUUUAAAGACACGUUCAGCAACUGGCAUUCAGACAUGAAGAAGAAAUUCUGCAGUAAGCACAGGUAAGAUAAGCUGCUUUAUAUAAGGGGAAAAAAAAAAAAAAAGCAGUUGAGGGCUAACAGCACAGUCUCUUUUUCCAGAAGUUUGGAAAACCAGGAACAUAGAGCUGCCAGUCUCCUCCAGGCCAGAAUUGCCACAAAAUGGCAUUUGGAAACUAGAUAGAUAUAAGAAGCUUUCUCAUGUACUGGGAAGCAGGAAAGAGAUUCUUACAAAGCUAACUUAAGUGUAUCAAGGAUGCUGUUCAAAUGGACAGGGAGUGUUCAAAGCUGGAAAUUUGAGUCCAAAUAUAUAGAUAGCAGAACAACACAGUAUACAAAAAGCACCUAAAAGAACACUGCAAACAAGCCAGAAAAAGACUUGGUAAUGCACUGAUCUCAGGGUCCAGAGGUGUCAUAACAAAAUAAUGAAGUGUCACCUCACUUUUCCUUACUUGAGGACGCACAUACAAAUUACUCCAGGCUGCAUCAACAAGCACAUAUGGACCUGAGACUACAGAAAAAUGUAACAUGUGCCAAGCUAGCAGCCAAAUGUGGGUUCAAGAGUCACAGACCAUAGGGGAAGAUUCUGGGUCACAUUAAACUAUGAGAUCUUGUUGUUGUUAAAAGAUGAGCAAAAUUGGGAAGCGCAAGAAAACUGUUCAAGUUUUGCUGAGUUUUCAGAUCUGAGUCUGCUAAAUUAAUGUUUUAUAUAAAAUAACACAAUUUUAUAAUAUGUUUCCAACUAGUCAUUUUACAGCUUUUCACAGAUGGUCUGAAGUAUGUAUGAAAAUAUAACACAAGUGAAAAAUUCCUUGCCUUUACAGCAUCCUUAUAUGCUCUCUCAUAUGCACACCUCCUGCAUGUCCUGCAGCAAGAGUUUAAAUGUUAUGAUUUUGUGACCACUGGUGGUUUUGUGGUGGUGAAGUGAGGCUGGAGAUGUGGGAGCAAAAGAAGCUGAGCAAGAAAGAGUGAUGUUUCCAGUAGGAAAACAGAAUGUGCAAAUGCAAGGGACUUGCAAUGAAAAGUAAAAAAAUCAGAGGAGGUGGUGUUAGCAGCACUCAGUUCAUCUAGGAAAGGAUAGAGGUUGGCUGAGAUGCAAGGUAAAGAGACAUCCAUCAGGAGUGGGGACCAGCAGAGCUGUAGGUGUUAGCUGAAGCCCUCCAGGCAGAUGAGGUGGUCUCCAGAAGGUCACCCAGGAGACAUCUGUGUCCUUAACAUGGGAGGAAGGAGUAGAUAGGGUUGCUGAAGACUCCCAUGUGGAGAGGGCAGGGAACAGACGAGGGCAAAGAAGGAUUAAAAAUGUGCCUGGGAUGGGAAUAGAGGGAGGACACUGGGGUCCUGGUCCAAGGGUCUUUGAGGAAAGGAAAGGAUACAAUUUCAAAGGGAAUGUGCAAUUCAUGGCAUCAGAAGCAGCAACACAACUAGAGGAAUGGGGAUAGAGAUGGAGGAGUGAGAGGCUGUGAAGCUUAAUGGUGAAAGCACUGGAAUAAAGGUAUAGAUCAGGGUUUUUAGGCUGAGGAUAGAUUUAGCUGUGGUGCUGGCUGGAUUCUCCCAUUCAGAGGACAAGGAAGAAGAAAGGUGUGUAAGGGUGGGAUUUAGGGACAAGGGGAAAUUAUAAGAUGCUUACAUUGGAGGCCUUGAUAAAGGAGCCUGGAGGAAAGUGAGGAUUUGGAGCUGUGAAAGAUUAAGGCUAAAGAAGGUGGCAGAGAAUACAGUUUCUGGGGUAUUUGGAUAAACAGGAGCAGAGAAUGGGUAAUGCUGUUGACUGUUUAAGAGCCAGGGAGAGUACAGGAGAGGAACAAGCCUGGCUCAGACCUGGGAGAAGCUGUCAGUACCCUUGCACAGGGGUAGAAGAAAGAGAAGACCUGUGUGAAGCAGUAACCUGAGGUGAUAGGCAGGGGUCUGAAGGGAAGGAAACUGUAGGAGGACUGGGAGAGAGGAUGGAGCAAGAGGUGUUAAGAGAGAGCGCAGAAGAUGUGAGUAGUAGGGAGAUAAAGAGGAAGGAAAGGGCAGAGCAGUGCAGCAAAGCUUUGUGUGGUUGAGGAGUGCAAGAGAAAAAGAGGAUGGGAGUCAGACAGCAGAGGUAGUGUGAAGGUGGAAAGGAUGGAGAGAUGGAAUUAUUCCAGGGUGGGAGGGAAGGAGAAAGACAAAUGAAUAGGCAAAUUAUAACUAAUGCGAUAAUUAACUGCUACAGCAGUAAUCUGAUUGUCACCCAAAAAAGAGGAUGAAGCAGGGAGUUUGUGAGAGAGGGGGAGGCAUGAUCAGGCUGGCAGAGGAGCAGAAGUGGGCUGAGCCCAGUGGGGUGCAGAGGCAGUGUGGCAGGGAGCAGCAGGAGCAGAUGCUGGGGCUGUAGUUCCUAUGGCAACAUAGGAAGGCAAAUGCAACAAGUGUGCCAAGGUGGCAGCGUUAGCAGGGGACAGCUCGGUGCGUUUCCGUGUCACACUGCUCAGGGUGGGCAUGGAGCCGUGCACAUCCCUGGGCAGCAGGGCACCAGGGCUCUGCCCUUGCAGAAACCACCACAAGUUACUGGCAGGUUUUGAGGCCCGACCCCCUUCACUGCUGCUAAAUGGGUGUCUUUUGCUCUCUUUCUCCAACCCUAGGAAUCCCAAAGUGCAGCACAGCGAGAGCUGCUGAGCAUCUUGUCAGCAGUGAGGUGCCUGUGUGCCGCAUGGUGAGGGGAUAGCUCUGCAGGGAACAAUGGGAGAAUGAGCAUCCCCCCUCCUCAUGCCCAUGUGCCAUGGGGCUGGGGGCUAAAUCUCCCAUGUCCUGGCUCAGCCUGGCCUGCUGGCACAUACCUCCCGACACCUGCAGUGUGUAGGUGCCCUCCAGCACGGCUGCCAUAGUGUGAGGCCAGGAGGCAGGAAAAGCACAUGGCUUUCACAGGUCUUAUUUUUCACUCAUUAAUUUUGGCAGAGUUUUCCCUUUUUUUUCCUUUAUUAUCUCCUGUAAUUAAGCAGCAGUUUGGGUCUGCAGCUACUCCACACCAUUGUGCUCAUAUCCUGUGCAAAACAGCUGGAGACAGAACACAAAGGCAAUUUUUCCUAUUGCUCCGACACUCGGACAGAAGGAGCAACCCUGCGGAGUGUUCAGCAAAGAUGCCGCUCCUUCUACCCUGCCCCAGCAGGAGAUCCAUCUCCAUGCUGCCCGCCGGAGAUCCGUGCGCCCCGCAGCAGCGCUCGGGCUCUCCGCGGGCUCGCAGCUGCAUCCAACAGCAGAGGGAGCUCCGCGAGAGGAAGAGGAGCAGGCGAAGCUCGGCAGGAGCAGCCCCAGGAAGGAGGGAGGCGGGCAGGGGUGAGCAGAGGUAACCGCAGGCUGCUCUGCUGCACCAGAAAGUUUCAGUGACAUUUUGAGAAACUCUGGUGCCACGGUUCACACCAGGAUGAAAGGAAAGCAGUGAAUAUGUCUUUGUGGCACCCACUGGAAGCUGAUGGCCAUUUCUGCCGCAUUUGGGAUGACAGCAAUACCAGCCAGCCACAUCACAGCCCCUACAAAGCCAGAUCGUGGCUAUGACUCUCUAGCCACAGAGAUCAGAGCAAGGAAAUAAAUAUAUUGGUCUUUCCAUCCCUUGUUCUCUGUGGUCCCGGGUGCAGCACAAGAGCAGGCAUGAUUCAUUCUACAGUCUCUGGGCAACCCAAGGGAAAAUCGCCUGCUAAUUUCAGUUUCUGAUGUCAGAACGUAUAAUUAACCUGACAAAGCAAAACGUUAUUUUAGGUUAAGGCAUGAUCAGACCUUCUUUCUCCCUCUACCUAUUUCUAAAUGGUAAUAAGUUGAAGGUGUUUGAGGCUGGGGGAGGUAUGUGUUUUGUGGUGGCUAUACUGUGUUGGCAGUUAAUUUGCUGCUCUUAUGCUCACUAAUACAUUAAAAUAUUACCAAUGCUUUCUCCAGUUAAUUUAUAUUCAAGUUAAAUGCAGAGAAAUAAAAUUAUUUGGACAUUAGAA